CUACGGGAUGCUCCAGUGAGGAAUAUUGCACAAUGGGGGGAACCCUGAUGCAGCAACGCCGCGUGGAGGAUGACGCAUUUCGGUGUGUAAACUCCUUUUAUAUGUCAAGAAAAUGACGGUAGCAUAUGAAUAAGCACCGGCUAACUCCGGGCCAGCAGCCGCGGUAAUACGGAGGGUGCAAGCGUUACUCGGAAUCACGGGGCGUAAAGGACGCGUAGGCGGGUUGGAAAGUCAGGUGUGAAAUCCUACAGCUUAACUGUAGAACUGCACUUGAAACUUCUAAUCUAGAGUAUGGGAGGGGGAGAUGGAAUUAGUGGUGUAGGGGUAAAAUCCGUAGAUAUCACUAGGAAUACCUAAAGCGAAGGCGAUCUCCUGGAACAUUACUGACGCUAAGGCGUGAAAGCGUGGGGAGCAAACAGGAUUAGAUACCCUAGUAGUC
rnacentral:rRNA from 1 species